rnacentral:rRNA from 1 species
GCGAACGCUGGCGGCGUGCUUAACACAUGCAAGUCGAGUGCGCGGUAGCAAUACUGGCGCACGGCGCACGGGUGAGUAACACGUGGGCAACCUGCCCUACAGAGGGGGAUACCCCCGGCGAAAGCGGGACUAAUACCGCAUGAUAUUCCGGUGGCUUCGGCUGCUGGACUCAAAGUCCUCAGGACGCUGUUUGGAGGGGGCCCGCGCCCCGAUUAGCUAGUUGGUGAAGUAACGGCUCACCAAGGCUAUGAUCGGUAGUCGGUCUGAGAGGAUGAUCGACCACACUGGAACUGAGACACGGUCCAGACUCCUACGGGAGGCAGCAGUGGGGAAUAUUGCGCAAUGGGCGAAAGGCCUGACGCAGCGACGGCCGCGUGGGGGAUGAAGCUUUUCGGAGUGUAAACCCCCUUUUCGACCCGGACGAAACUCCCGCAAGGGAUUGACGGUACGGGUAUAAGAAGCCCCGGCUAACUACGUGCCAGCAGCCGCGGUAAUACGUAGGGGGGCCAGCGUUGCUCGGAAUUAUUACUGGGCGUAAAGGGUUCGUAGGCGGUGUGGCAAGUCGGCAGUGAAAUCUCCAGGCUUAACUUGGAGGCUGCUGCCGAAAACUGCCGUGCUAGAGUGCGGGAGAGGCGAGUGGAAUUAACAGGUGUAGCGGUGAAAAUGCGUAGAUAUCUGCAGGAAACACCCGUGGCGAAGGCGGGCUCGCUGGACCGCAACUGACGCUGAGGAACGAAAGCUAGGGGAGCAAAGCAGGAUUAGAUACCCUGGUAGUCCCUAGCCCUAAAACGAUCAGGACUUGGGGUGCAUCCCGUUGGGGGUGCGUCCCGUAGCUAACGCGUUUAAGUCCUGCGCCUGGGGAGUACGGUCGCAAGGCUGAAACUCAAAGGAAUUGACGGGGGCCCGCAACAAAGCGGUGGAACAUGUGGUUCAAUUCGACGCAACGCGAAGAAAACCUUACCUGGGGCUUGAACUGCUACUGACCAACGGUAGAAAUAAUCGUCUUCCCGCAAGGGACAGUAGUAGAGGUGCUUGGCAUGGCUGUCGUCAGCUCGUGCCGUGAGGUGUUGGGUUUAAGUCCCGCAACGAGCGCAACCCCCUAUUCUUAGUUGCCACCCGCAAGGGGGAACUCUAAGAGGACUGCUCCGGACAAACGGAGAGGAAGGUGGGGAUGACGUCAAGUCAGCACGGGCCUUUAUGUCCAGGGCUACAACACGUGUUACAAUGGCAUGGUACAGACCGUCGCGAAACCCGCGAGGGGGAGCUAAUCGUAAAAAAAACCAUGCUCAGUUUCGGAUUGCAGUCUGCAACUCGACUGCAUGAAGCUGGAAUCGCUAGUAAUGCCGUAUCAGAACGACGGGCGUGAAUACGUUUCCCGGGCCUUGUACACACCCCGCCCGUUCACAUCACGGAAGUGGGCUGUACUAGAAAGUCGCCGCGCCAAACCGCAAGGAGGCAAGCGCCCAAGGGUAUGGCUCAUGAUUGGGGUG